AUUAAACGCUGGCGGCAUGCCUUACACAUGCAAGUCGAACGGCAGCACGGGAGCAAUCCUGGUGGCGAGUGGCGAACGGGUGAGUAAUAUAUCGGAACGUGCCCAGUCGUGGGGGAUAACGCAGCGAAAGCUGUGCUAAUACCGCAUACGAUCUAUGGAUGAAAGCGGGGGACCGUAAGGCCUCGCGCGAUUGGAGCGGCCGAUAUCAGAUUAGCUAGUUGGUGGGGAAAAGGCCCACCAAGGCGACGAUCUGUAGCUGGUCUGAGAGGACGACCAGCCAACCUGGAACUGAGACACGGUCCAGACUCCUACGGGAGGCAGCAGUGGGGAAUUUUGGACAAUGGGCGCAAGCCUGAUCCAGCAAUGCCGCGUGCAGGAUGAAGGCCUUCGGGUUGUAAACUGCCUUUGUACGGAACGAAACGGUCUCUAUUAAUACUGGGGGCUAAUGACGGUACCGUAAGAAUAAGCACCGGCUAACUACGUGCCAGCAGCCGCCGUAA
rnacentral:rRNA from 1 species